UUACCAGGGCUUGACAUACACUGGAAUGGGCGUGAAAGCGUCCAGCCCCUCGGGGCCGGUGUACAGGUGCGUGCAUGGCUGUCGUCAGCUCGUGCUGUGAAGUGUUGGGUUAAGUCCCGCAACGAGCGCAACCCCUGCUAUCUGUUGCCAGCAAGUAAUGUUGGGGACUCAGAUGGAACUGCCGGUGGACAAACCGGAGGAAGUGGGGACGACGUCAAGUCAUCAUGGCCCUUAUGUCCUGGGCUACACACGUGCUACAAUGGCCGGUACAGAGCGCAGCGAAGCCGCGAGGCAAAGCGAAUCGCAAAAAGCCGGUCUCAGUACGGAUUGGAGUCUGAAACUCGACUCCAUGAAGUUGGAAUCGCUAGUAAUCGCGCAUCAGCAUGGCGCGGUGAAUACGUUCCCGGGCCUU
rnacentral:rRNA from 1 species